ACGGUAUUGCUUCCUCUGAUUACACGAUGAAUUUAGGGCUUUCAUUUGUAAAGAGUGCUUCCUGAGUUUAUACGUUGGAGUUGGGGGCUGCCUUGGAGAAGAUAAGAAGUUGCGACUAAAGUGGAAAAAACCCUAUCUAACCAAGGGUUUGAAGAUGGAAACCAGAGGAAGAUCCAGGCAGAGAGAGAGAGAGAGAGUGGCUGAGAGAGAGAGAUUUGGGGCAGAGAGAAUCGAUUUUAAAAGAAAAAAAUAGGCGGAAAAGGGUUUUUGGAUGGGAUAUUCCAGAGUUUUGAAUGGGAUAUUCUAGAGUUUUUUCACUGGGAUAUUCCGGGGGGAUUUUUGGCUGGAUUUUUCAAAGAUUUUUGGCUGGAAUUCCAUAGGGAAACAUGAGUGCUUUGCUGGGAUUUUCCCCAGAGGGAAACAUGGGAUUUUUGCCUGGAAUUCCAGAAGGAAACAUGGUGAUAUUCUAGAGGGAAAAAGAGAGAGAAAUAGAGAUUAACCCAGGGCUUUUCAAGAGGGAUUGGGCCAGAGCUUUUGGAGAUUGACCCAGAGGGAUUGCUAAGAAGGAAAGGCUAAUUCUUGCUGGAAAACGUUCGGCCAUUACAGAUUUGCCCUUUGUUCUUCUUUUGUUCUUUCAGAUUUUCUAUGGUUUUUCUUCUCUAGUGCAUGACACGUACUAGUGGGGAGAUACUUGAAGAAUUUGAUCCCGAAAUUGAGCGAACAACCCAUCAUUUGAGGAGAAUGGCAGCCGCACCUGUUAAUGUGAUGAAGGACGAAGUCAAUGAAGAGGAAAACAUACCAUUGAGGGAUUAUGCCAUGCCAUCAAUGGAAGGAGCCAAAUAUAGCAUAAGAAGACCGUCAAUCAAAGCAAAUAAUUUUGAGAUUAAACCGGCCAUCAUUCAAAUGAUUCAACACUCGGUACAAUUUGGAGGAUAAAGCAAAAAGUUGGUUAAGCUCUUUACCUUCAGGAUCCAUCACUACAUGGGAGCAAAUGGCACAAAAAUUUCUAGGUAAGUACUUUCCACCUGUGAAAACUGCAAAAUUGCGAAACGAAAUUAUUAUGUUUUUGCAGGUAGAGAAUGAAUCACUCUAUGAGGCAUAUGAAUGCUUUAAAGAUCUACUGAGAAAGUGUCCUCACCACGGGCUGCCAAUAUGGCUUCAGGUACAAACAUUUUAUAAUGGUUCUACUGCCACAAUCCGCAAUAUGAUUGAUGCAGCUGCAGGUGGAAUAGUCAUGAGAAAAACACCUGAACAAGCCUAUGAGUUGCUCGAUGAAAUGGCUACAAAUUCUUACCAAUGGCCUGCCGAGAGACUCCCUGCAAGGAAGGCUACGGGUUUACAUAAUGUUGAUGCCAUCACAUCUUUGGCGGCACAAAUAGAGGCUCUCAAUAAGAAGAUGGAUGGACUACAACUCCUAAUGUCAAAUACAUGUGAUUUUUGUGGAGGCAGCCACCCGAACCAUGAAUGCCAAACAGGUAACCAAGUCUCAUCUAGUUCACUUUCUGAGCAGACACACUUUGUAUCAAAUUUCCAAAGGCAAAACAACCCGUAUAGCAACACCAAUAUCCAGGAUGGAGAAAUCACCCGAACUUUGCUUGGAAUCAAAAUAAUGUGAAGCAACCACCUCCUGUAUUCCCACCUCAAGAGAAGAAAUCAAAUUUGGAGUAUAUGAUGGCUAAGUUCUUGAGCACGGCUGAAACAAGAUUUCAGAAUCAAGAAGCCUCAAUUCGGAAUAUAGAAGUUCAAAUAGGGCAACUUGCAAACUUGGUCUCAGGGCGUACACAAGCCUCCCUCCCGAGCAACACCGAAAAGAAACCCAAGAUGCAAGGUCAUAGCAUUGAGGAGUGGGAAACAAUUGGAUGAGCCAAAUACUAAAGUGGCCGAGUCCAACAUACAAGAGGAUUCAACCAUUAAUGAAGAGAAGGAAGCAACAACCACUCAAGAGGAGAGGUUGAAUUUGAAUAAGAAAGCUAAGGGAAAAGGGGUGGUGAAUUCUGAAAACUACAUGCCCCCUCUUCCAUACCCACAAAGGCUCAAGCAAGACAAGCUAGAUAAGCAAUUUUCUGAAUUUUUAGAAAUUUUUAAGAAAUUACAAAUUAAGAUUUCUUUUGCUGAAGCUUUGUCACAGAUGCCCGGCUAUGCUAAAUUCUUGAAGGAAAUCUUGUCCAACAAAAGAAAGUUGGAAGAACAUGAAACAGCCAUGUUGACAGAAGAAUGCAGUGCCAUUCUACAAAAUAAGUUGCCUCAUAAAUUGAAAGAUCCAGGGAGUUUUACUAUUCCUUGCCCUUUAGGAAAUUCGUAUUUUAAUAAAGCUUUAUGUGAUCUAGGUGCAAGCAUUAAUCUUAUGCCUCUUCUAAUUUUCAGGAAGCUUGGUUUAGGAGAAGUUAAGGCAACCACUAUGUCCUUAUAAUUGGCAGACCGGUCAAUAAAGAGACCGCGGGGAAUUAUUGAAGACGUACUAGUAAAAGUGGAUAAAUUUAUUUUCCCCAUGGAUUUUAUUGUCCUUGAUAUGGAGGAAGACCGAGAAGUGCCUAUAAUAUUAGGAAGACCUUUCCUUCCACGGGAAGAGCUUUGAUUGAGGUGGACAUCUUUGAUGAUCUUGUUGAGGAGUGCCAAAGGGAAGCACUUAAGGAUGAUCCUCUAGAAAGAUACAUUGCUAUGGAUGAGGAUAACACAUGUCCAGAGGAAGCCGAAAAUUUAGAAAAUUUGUUGGAAAUAAAUUCAAAGAAUUCUGAGGACAUGAGAGAACAAAAGCCAAAAUUAGAACUCAAAUUCCUUCCAUCUCAUCUCAAAUAUGCUUAUUUAAAAGAACAUGCAUUUCUUGUAAUUAUCUCUUCUUUAUUGAUAGGUGAAAUGGAAUAAAAAUUGUUGGAAGUUCUAAGAAGACAUAAGAAGGCAAUAGGUUGGACCAUAGCAUACAUUAAGGGGAUCAAUCCAUCCAUUUGCACACACAAUAUCCUUAGGGAGGAAAAUUUCAUGCCCAAGGUUCAACCUCAAAGGCGCCUCAAUCCAACAAUGCAGGAGGUAGUUAAAAAGGAAGUGGUCAAAUUGCUCGACGCAAGUAUUAUCUAUCAUAUUUCUGAUAGUGCAUGGAUUAGCCCGGUACAAGUAGUAUCAAAGAAAGCAGUGUGAAGAAACCAACCUUGUACUUAAAUGGGAAAAAUGCCAUUUUAUGGUUUAAGAAGGGAUCGUUCUAGGGCAUAAGAUCUCCUCCAAGGGGAUUGAAGUUGAUAGGGCAAAGGUGGAGGUGAUUGAGAAUCUACCUUCACCUACUAUAGUUAAAGCUGUUAGAAGCUUCCUCAGGCAUGCAUGAUUCUAUAGGAGAUUUAUCAAAGAUUUCUCAAAAAUCUCAAAACCUCUUUCUAAUCUCCUAAUAAAAGAAAAUAAAUUUGAGUUUUCUAAUGUGUGCUUGCAGGUAUUUUAGGUGUUGAAAGAGAAGCUUGUGACCGCCCCUAUUGUAGUACCACCAGAUUGGAGCCUUCCAUUUGAAAUGACUUUGCUACAAGCCUAAUAAAGACCUUUUGAUCUGAGUUUGAUAUGGUUGUCGACAUUAGUGGAGACGGAUUAAGUAAUCUACCAACUUAGGUCCAGAAAAGCCCAUGCCAUAGAAGCCACGCUAUAAAGGCCCACAAUUAAAAGGCCCAAUCUCAGCCCAGUGAAGCCCACACACGGAGGACAUUAUCCCAGCCAAAACGACAUUGUGCUUCAUUCCUCAGAGCCUCCACGGUAUUGCUUCCUCUGAUUGCACGCUGGAUUUAGGGCUUUCAUUUGUAAAGAGUGUUUCCUGAGUUUAUAAGCUCGAGUUGGGGGCUGCCUUGGAGAAGAUAAGAAGUUGCGACUAAAGUGGACAAAACCCUAUCUAACGAAGAGUUUGAAGAUGGAAACCAGAGGAAGACCCGGGAAGAGAGAGAGAGAGAGAUUUGGGGCGGAGAGAAUCAGUUUUAAAAUAGAGAAUCAGUUUUAAAAGAGGAAAACAGGAACGGAAAAGGGUUUUGGCUGGGAUAUUCCAGAGUUUUUUCACUGGGAUAUUCCAGGGGGAUUUUUGGCUAGAUAUUCCAGAGAUUUUUGACUGGAAUUCCAGAGGAAAUCAUGAGUUUUUUGCUGGGAUUUUCCCCAGAGGGAAACAUGGGAUUUUUGGCUAGAAUUCCAGAGGGAAACAGAGAGAUAUUCUAGAGGGAAAAAGAGAGAAAAAGAGAGAUUAACCCAGGACUUUUCAAGAGGGAUUGGGCCAGAGCUUUCGGAGAUUGACCCGGAGGGAUUGUUGAGAAGGAAAGGCUGAUUCUUGGUGGAAAACAUUCGGCCAUUACAAAUUUACCCUUUGUUCUUCUUUUGUUCUUUCAGAUUUUCUAUGGUGAUGUUUUCCAGACUUUACUUUGGUUUAUUUAAUUUCAUUAUGGUUUAAUACUUUUAGUUAGAGAUUGAUGGAU